rnacentral:rRNA from 1 species
UUAAAUUGAAGAGUUUGAUCAUGGCUCAGAUUGAACGCUGGCGGCAGGCCUAACACAUGCAAGUCGAGCGGAAACGAGUUAUCAGAACCUUCGGG